rnacentral:tRNA from 1 species
GCUGAAUAGCUCAGUCGGUAGAACAUGAGCCUCGUAGUCUCAGGGUUGUGGGUUUGAGCCCCAGGUUGGGCA